UACGUAGGAUGCGAGCGUUGUCCGGAAUUAUUGGGCGUAAAGCGAACGUAGGCGGCCUGGUAAGUUUGGUCUUAAAGACCGGGGCUCAACCCCGGGAAUGGACCGAAUACUGUCAGGCUGGAGUACGCUAGAGGAUGGUGGAAUUCCAAGUGUAGCGGUGAAAUGCGUAGAUAUUUGGAGGAACACCGGUGGCGAAAGCGACCAUCUGGGGCGUUACUGACGCUGAGGUUCGAAAGCUCGGGGAGCAAGCAGG
rnacentral:rRNA from 1 species